rnacentral:lncRNA from 1 species
UACCACAGUAAUAAAAUACUCAUCCUUUUCACUCCACAGUUGAGCCAAACCCGGGGGUAUCGCAUUUGUCUUUCUCUCACUCUAAAUUACCCAGUGUCAUUGGCAGCACCCAUCUCAGUCUGUAGUUCUGAAUUUCUCCUUCCUCUUAAAACUCGAACAUCACAGCCACGGCUCUGCCCUCCAGGUCCUCAUGCUCUGAGCUUUCCUGAUUGUCCAGUCCCUCUCUCAGCCUUGACAAGGGCUGUUUUUACUUUCCCUUCACUUAUAUUUUCCUUAGCUUUGCUAAUGUUGUUGGCAUUUUCGGAGAAUGGACUCUUGAGUUUUACUGAUCAAACUAUUUUUCUUCUAAUAAAUUGAUGCAGCCCUUUUUAUUUUUUUUACUUUUUUUCGUUUGACAUUUUAUAAUUUUUUUUAACUUUUGAAUUUCAUUUUUACUUCACUAAUUCCCUUAUACUUGAAGUACAUUUAAGGCUGUACAAUAUCUUCUGAUUUCCUUCUGAUCUCACCUCACAGGUUUUGAAAUAUAGUGCUAUUCUUGCACUUAAUCAUUUUUAAAGAAUCUGUGAUUCUACAUACAUUUUUUGAUAUUUUAAACCCCAGAUGUGUUUUAAAAAAUAAAUUUUCACAGUGGAUAAUAUUUUUGUCAGUUUUAUUUUAUUUUUAUUUUUUUUGGGGGGUACUGGGGAUUGAACUCAGGAGCACUGGACCACUGAGCCGCAUCCCCAGCCCUAUUUUGUAUUUUAUUUAAAGACAGGGUCUCAGGGAAUUGCUUAGCAGCUCACUAAAUCACUGAGGUUGGCUUUGAACUCACCAUCCUCCUGCCUCCGCCUCCUGAGCUGCUGGGAUUACAGGCAUGCGCCAUGGCGACUGGCCUAAAAAUUUUUUUGAAUGUUAGUUUUGUGCUAUUUUUGUUGGUCGUGAAACUAUUCUAAGCAGCUGGGCUAAUGAACUGCUUGUUACCCAGUGGCACUGAGAUAAGAUAUUCACCCCAGGACUUUAGUCAAUGUUCCUCUUCCUUCAAAAUAAAUAUUUUUAUUUAAUGAAGCAAAAAAGGUCAGCUGAACUGAACUGUGUGCUGAGUGAUAGAACUGAUCCAUGGUCUGCCGUGAUCUUCUAACUCCUGCAGCCUGGCAGGUUCCUAGACCCACACUGACUCUCUUUUAGCAGCUCUGCUCUAGCAUACUGUGAACGUUCUUGGGGCCACUUAGUCUAUCUUAUAAACAUUUCAAUGGAAUUUGAGAAAAUAUGGAUUCUCUGUAUACUACAAAACACUAUAAAUCUAGUAAUUGAGUUUUCUUAUUAUGCUUUCCAAUCCUCUGUAUUCUUGAAUUCUUUUUUGAAUUUGAUGUGUGUGAGUUUCUGUAGAAGGAAUAUCAAAGUCUUCUCUACCAUGUGGACUUGACAAUUUUUCUUCAUAUUCCUAAUACAUAGCAAUAUUAUUCUGUUUAUUGUUCAUAACUGUUAAAUCUUGGUGAAUUGUACUCGUUAUAAAAAACACAUAAUUUUACUUUAUUGAACUUUUACAUUAAAUUCUGCUUUGUCUUAUUUCUAUAUUACCAC